GAAUAAAAGAAAAAAGAAAAAAACAUAUACUUAUUUCAAUCAAGGUAGGAAUAAUUCUAAAAUUCAAGUCCUAUUUAUGAUUUUUUGAGACGUAAUAACAUUAUAUAGUUUUAGUUCUACAAAAUAAUUAUUUAAUAUACAGAUGCAUUUAUGAUUUUGUUAAAAAGCCUGUUUGCAACGUGUUGUGGAAGGGGACUUUCUUAGCUGGAUAGAUAAUAUAAGCUAUGAAACUACUAAUAGCAUAACAAAUGGGGGAAGAUUUAGAUGCAGAAUUUUAGGAUCAGGAAGAAGACAAGCCUACUCACUGUCUCUGCUGCCCUUUCCAGUGGAACUGACAGUCAUGAGUGGUGCUAUGAUGGGAGAAGAGAAAGAAGGUGUAUCAGGACUGGAAGGGAAGGACGCGAUCACCCACCAGGAAAAGAUCGAAGAGUCAGCACAUGACACGUUACAACAACAGGAGAACACAGUGCUGCAGGAGGCAAAUCAAUUCACAAGACUCAGACUUCCUCAUGGUAUUACACCAGGAAGAAUCAUUGAACAGGUAGGAUUUAAGCAAACAGUAGGAUAGCAUAUCCAAUAGUGACACAAACUGUGAAGAAACAGCUCUCAAGCAUUUUGGUCUCAGGAUCCCUUCACACUCAAAGGUAUUGAGGCCACGAAAGGGCUUUUGUUAGGGUGAAUUAUAAUUAUCAACUUUUACUGUAUUGGAAAUUAAAACUGAGAAUCUUUAAAAAUAUUCAGUAUAUUUAAAAGAACAAUAAUAAGCCUAUUUCAUGUUAAUAUGAGUAAUAUAUUUUUAGGAAAUAAUCACAGUUCUCAAAAAACAAGUAGUGCGAAGAGGGGCCUGGUUUUGCAUUUUUAAAGAUACGUCCAACGUCUGCCUUGAGGGGAGACAACCUGGCACUCGCAUCUGCUUCUUCAUUCGGUCCGUGACAAUAUGGUCUCUCAGUUGAAGCAUUUGCGAAAUACAUCCUCACAUGUAACUAGAAGGGUGAGGACCUGAUGGACCACAGGGUUCCUCAUAUCACACUUGGAAAACCUCUGUUAUAAAAUAUCUAGGAAUUAACCCAAAACAUACAACACCUCCAAAGUCAGAACUGUAACCACUAACAAAAAUGCAGGUGAUCUGAAUACAUGGAAAAUCGCCCACACUCUUGGACAGGAUGAGCUAAUAAUGGUUAUGAUGUCAUUUCUUCCUCAAAUUAUACCAUCAGUGCAAUUGCACUCACAAUCCCCAUUAUUGGACUAUAAAUUUAAUACUACCGUACAUUUCCUUCUGACAAAUAAAUGUCGAUGGAAAACUAUACUGAUCUUAUAAAAAUGGAAUAAAUGGAGAGAUAAGCUCUCCCAGGUGUUGAGUCACGUUAUAGAGCAAUGGUCGUUUUCAACAGCGUGAACCUGGAACAGACACAGAUGCUGAUUAAAUUGACUGGAAAGCUCAGGAAAUAUCCCUGCAUUAUCAAAACCUAAUAUAUGAUGAAGGUGGCAGCGGAAAUCAAAGGGAAAAGAUGGAUUUGUGGUGCAAAAAAUGUCCAUUUUAUGAAGCAAAGUAAAUCAGAAUUUCUGCUUAAGACCACAUUCAAAGAUGGAAUCCAGGUGGAUCAAGACAUAAAUAUGAAAGAUAAAGUAUAAGGUUAGUAGGAGAAAGUGUAAGGAAAUAACUUUGUGCUCUAGGAGCGGAGAAGGAUUUCUAAAACAAAAUUUCAAAAGCAGCAAUGACAAGGUGAUUUGAAAGACAUGAAAAUGUCUGCGUGAAGUAUUUUUGUUUGGUGGAGCAUAUCCUGGAUAAAGUUAACAGGCAGCUAGAAAAUUGGGAAAAGAUCAUUUGCAAUGUCUAAAACUGUGAAGGGAAUACUGUCAAGAAGAAUAAACAAGAAAGCAUAGGAAGCUCAUCCCUGUAUG
ensembl:lncRNA